rnacentral:rRNA from 1 species
AGGACGAACGCUGGCGGCGUGCUUAACACAUGCAAGUCGAGCGGUAAGGCCUUUCGGGGUACACGAGCGGCGAACGGGUGAGUAACACGUGGGUGAUCUGCCCUGCACUCUGGGAUAAGCCUGGGAAACUGGGUCUAAUACCGGAUAUGACCUGCUCUCGCAUGGGGGUGGGUGGAAAGAUUUAUCGGUGCAGGAUGGGCCCGCGGCCUAUCAGCUUGUUGGUGGGGUAAUGGCCUACCAAGGCGACGACGGGUAGCCGACCUGAGAGGGUGACCGGCCACACUGGAACUGAGACACGGUCCAGACUCCUACGGG